rnacentral:rRNA from 1 species
GACGAACGCUGGCGGCGUGCCUAAUACAUGCAAGUCGAACGGAAAGGCCCUGCUUUUGUGGGGUGCUCGAGUGGCGAACGGGUGAGUAACACGUGAGUAACCUGCCCUUGACUUUGGGAUAACUUCAGGAAACUGGGGCUAAUACCGGAUAGGAGCUCCUGCUGCAUGGUGGGGGUUGGAAAGUUUCGGCGGUUGGGGAUGGACUCGCGGCUUAUCAGCUUGUUGGUGGGGUAGUGGCUUACCAAGGCUUUGACGGGUAGCCGGCCUGAGAGGGUGACCGGCCACAUUGGGACUGAGAUACGGCCCAGACUCCUACGGGAGGCAGCAGUGGGGAAUAUUGCACAAUGGGCGGAAGCCUGAUGCAGCAACGCCGCGUGCGGGAUGACGGCCUUCGGGUUGUAAACCGCUUUCGCCUGUGACGAAGCGUGAGUGACGGUAAUGGGUAAAGAAGCACCGGCUAACUACGUG